AUUGAACGCUGGCGGCAUGCUUUACACAUGCAAGUCGAACGGUAACAGGCCGCAAGGUGCUGACGAGUGGCGAACGGGUGAGUAAUGCAUCGGAACGUGCCCAGUCGUGGGGGAUAACUACUCGAAAGAGUAGCUAAUACCGCAUACGAUCUAUGGAUGAAAGCGGGGGACCGUAAGGCCUCGCGCGAUUGGAGCGGCCGAUGUCAGAUUAGGUAGUUGGUGGGGUAAAGGCUCACCAAGCCAACGAUCUGUAGCUGGUCUGAGAGGACGACCACCCACACUGGGACUGAGACACGGCCCAGACUCCUACGGGAGGCAGCAGUGGGGAAUUUUGGACAAUGGGCGCAAGCCUGAUCCAGCAAUGCCGCGUGCAGGAAGAAGGCCUUCGGGUUGUAAACUGCUUUUGUACGGAACGAAACGGCUCUGGUUAAUACCCGGGGCUAAUGACGGUACCGUAAGAAUAAGCACCGGCUAACUACGUG
rnacentral:rRNA from 1 species